GAUGAACGCUGUCGGCGUGCCUAAUACAUGCAAGUCGAGCGAACAGAUAAGGAGCUUGCUCCUUUGACGUUAGCGGCGGACGGGUGAGUAACACGUGGGUAACCUACCUAUAAGACUGGGAUAACUUCGGGAAACCGGAGCUAAUACCGGAUAACAUUUGGAACCGCAUGGUUCUAAAGUGAAAGAUGGUUUUGCUAUCACUUAUAGAUGGACCCGCGCCGUAUUAGCUAGUUGGUAAGGUAACGGCUUACCAAGGCGACGAUACGUAGCCGACCUGAGAGGGUGAUCGGCCACACUGGAACUGAGACACGGUCCAGACUCCUACGGGAGGCAGCAGUAGGGAAUCUUCCGCAAUGGGCGAAAGCCUGACGGAGCAACGCCGCGUGAGUGAUGAAGGGUUUCGGCUCGUAAAACUCUGUUAUUAGGGAAGAACAAACGUGUAAGUAACUGUGCACGUCUUGACGGUACCUAAUCAGAAAGCCACGGCUAACUACGUGCCAGCAGCCGCGGUAAUACGUAGGUGGCAAGCGUUAUCCGGAAUUAUUGGGCGUAAAGCGCGCGUAGGCGGUUUCUUAAGUCUGAUGUGAAAGCCCACGGCUCAACCGUGGAGGGUCAUUGGAAACUGGGAAACUUGAGUGCAGAAGAGGAAAGUGGAAUUCCAUGUGUAGCGGUGAAAUGCGCAGAGAUAUGGAGGAACACCAGUGGCGAAGGCGACUUUCUGGUCUGUAACUGACGCUGAUGUGCGAAAGCGUGGGGAUCAAACAGGAUUAGAUACCCUGGUAGUCCACGCCGUAAACGAUGAGUGCUAAGUGUUAGGGGGUUUCCGCCCCUUAGUGCUGCAGCUAACGCAUUAAGCACUCCGCCUGGGGAGUACGACCGCAAGGUUGAAACUCAAAGGAAUAGACGGGGACCCGCACAAGCGGUGGAGCAUGUGGUUUAAUUCGAAGCAACGCGAAGAACCUUACCAAAUCUUGACAUCCUCUGAAAACUCUAGAGAUAGAGUUUUCCCCUUCGGGGGACAGAGUGACAGGUGGUGCAUGGUUGUCGUCAGCUCGUGUCGUGAGAUGUUGGGUUAAGUCCCGCAACGAGCGCAACCCUUAAGCUUAGUUGCCAUCAUUAAGUUGGGCACUCUAAGUUGACUGCCGGUGACAAACCGGAGGAAGGUGGGGAUGACGUCAAAUCAUCAUGCCCCUUAUGAUUUGGGCUACACACGUGCUACAAUGGACAAUACAAAGGGCAGCUAAACCGCGAGGUCAUGCAAAUCCCAUAAAGUUGUUCUCAGUUCGGAUUGUAGUCUGCAACUCGACUAUAUGAAGCUGGAAUCGCUAGUAAUCGUAGAUCAGCAUGCUACGGUGAAUACGUUCCCGGGUCU
rnacentral:rRNA from 1 species